UUGGAGGGAGAAGACAGAGUCCAAACUCCAAAGUCUGCAUUUCCAUGGCCGGCACGUGACCCUUCUCUCUCUCUCUCUCUAACACGUUCCACCUCUCACCUCUCUUUCUCCGUCAAUGUCUUCCGCCGCCGCCUCCACCCGCUCCUCCCAUAGACCCUCCGUCUCGCCGCUCCGCUCGCGGAAAUCCCCGGCGGCAGCCUCCAAACCCGCCGCAAGGCCUACCACUCCGUCCUCCUCCUCCACCGCCUCGAGGUCGUUGUCCAAGGCCUCCGUCUCCACAGCCGCCGCGUCGGACGUCAGCAAGGCCAAGGAGAAUGUCACUGUCACUGUCCGGUUCCGACCCCUCAGUGGGAGAGAAAUUAAUAAAGGGGACGAAGUGGCGUGGUAUGCGGAUGGGGAUCAUAUAGUUAGAAAUGAGUACAAUCCUUCCCUUGCUUAUGGCUUUGAUAAGGUAUUUGGGCCAGCAACGACAACUCGGCAUGUUUAUGAUGUGGCUGCUCAGCAAGUUGUUAGUGGUGCUAUGGAAGGGAUUAACGGUACCGUUUUUGCAUAUGGUGUUACUAGUAGUGGAAAGACUCAUACCAUGCAUGGGGAGCAAAAAUCACCUGGAAUUAUCCCACUUGCAGUGAAGGAUGUCUUCAGUAUUAUACAAGAGACUCCUGGACGAGAAUUCUUACUACGUGUCUCAUAUCUUGAGAUUUACAAUGAGGUCAUUAACGACUUGCUGGAUCCAACUGGGCAGAAUCUAAGAAUACGAGAGGAUGUUCAGGGUACUUAUGUUGAAGGAAUCAAAGAGGAAGUUGUGCUAUCCCCUGCUCAUGCCCUUUCUUUGAUUGCUACAGGAGAAGAGCAUAGACAUGUGGGUUCAAAUAAUUUCAAUCUAUUUAGCAGUCGAAGCCACACUAUUUUCACCUUGACUAUUGAAAGCAGUUCGCGAGGGGAAAAUCUAGGGGAAGAGGAUGUAACAUUGUCCCACUUGCACUUAAUUGAUCUUGCAGGUUCUGAAAGUUCUAAAACCGAAACAACUGGUUUGCGGAGGAAAGAAGGUUCCUAUAUUAAUAAAAGCUUGCUUACUCUUGGAACGGUGAUCGCUAAAUUAACAGAUGGAAAGGCAACUCAUAUUCCUUAUCGAGAUUCAAAGCUCACUCGGUUGUUACAAUCAUCCCUCAGUGGCCAUGGACGGAUUUCUCUCAUUUGCACAGUUACUCCUGCUUCUAGCAGUAGUGAAGAGACACACAACACAUUAAAGUUUGCACACCGGAGUAAGCAUGUUGAAAUCAAAGCUUCUCAAAAUAAGAUUAUGGAUGAGAAGUCUCUGAUCAAGAAGUAUCAGAGGGAAAUUUCUGAGUUAAAGCAGGAGCUUCAGCAACUGAAGCGUGGAAUGGUUGAGAAUCCCAAUAUGGCCACAUCUUCACAAGAAGAUCUGGUUAAUUUGAAGCUUCAGCUUGAAGCUGGUCAAUCCAAAUUGAAGUCGAGAUUGGAAGAGGAGGAACAGGCUAAAGCAGCAUUGAUGGGAAGAAUUCAGCGACUAACCAAAUUAAUCUUAGUUUCUACAAAGAAUGCAAUGACUUCAAGCAUUCCAGAAAGGCCUAGCCAUAGGCGAAGACAUUCUUUUGGGGAAGAUGAGCUAGCAUAUUUACCAGAUCGAAAACGUGAGUCCUGGGUUAAUGAUGACACAGGGAGCCAUGCUUCAGUUCCUUCAGCAGAAGAAAAGGAUGACAUUGCAAAUUUAGAUGAAUUGGUGAAGGAUUAUAAAAGAAGCAAAAGGCGUGGAAUGCUUGGUUGGUUGAAGCUGAGAAAACCUGAUAACGGUGAUGGAUCAUUGCCAAAUGUUGAUAGUGAGGGCUCUGCAAAUGGUUCACCUGCAUCUGCUUCAAAAUUAACUCCAAACAGAGUCAUGCUUCAUGUCAUGAAAGAUUCACGCAGGAAUUCAGUUAGCAAAAAGGAUAAUGCUUCAGCUCUCAAUUCUUUUCCAGGAAGAACUCAAGCAGGUGAUUUGUUCGGUGUAACUGUUGGUGGUCGUCAACUUCCUCCGACUGGGACUACUGUAACUGAUCAAAUGGAUCUUCUGCGUGAACAAGUAAAAAUGUUGGCUGGAGAGGUGGCAUUUUGUAUUAGUUCUCUGAAAAGACUGUCUGAACAGGCAGCUAACAAGCCUGAAGAUAUUCAACUACAAGAAGACAUGCACAAGUUGAAGGGUGAAAUUAGCCAAAAGAAGAAUCAAAUCCGUAUCCUAGAGCAACGGAUGAUUGGAUCACUAGGACAUGCACCAAGUAACAACGAAAUGUCUCAGGCUCUAUCCAAGCUUACCACUGAACUCAAUGAAAAGAUUUUUGAACUUGAGAUCAAGUCUGCAGAUAACAGGAUACUUCAAGAGCAACUGCAAUUGAAGAAUUCAGAGAAUGUUGAGAUGCAAGAGACAAUUAUUUCACUAAAGAAACAGAUAAAUUUGUUGUUGGAUAAAACCUCAACUAAUUUUCAGCACGUUGCUGCUAGUGAGACUGGCUAUUCUAGGGAUGUGUUGGGAAAGACCGAUGAAGCACGGUCAGUCAAAAACUUGAAUGCAACAGUCUCUGAAGCGCAUCCGAAGCAAGGAAGUAGUGAUCCAAAUAUAAAUUCUCAAAUUCUUAUGCAGGCAGCUGAAAUAGAUAAUUUAAGGCAAGAGAAUGCGAGAUUGGUGGAAGAGAAAGACGGGCUUGAAAUUCAAAGUCAUAAACUUGCAGAAGAAGCUUCAUAUGCAAAAGAGUUGGCAGCAGCUGCAGCAGUUGAACUCCGAAACCUGGCUGAAGAAGUGACUAAACUUACUUAUGAAAAUGCAGAACUGACUGGUGAUCUGGCAGCUGCAAAAGUGGCCUCUUGCAAAUCCAGCUUUUCUCCAACGUCUUCACAAAAUAUAAAUAAUAGUUUUCAACGAGAUGCGCAAUCGAAAAAGCUGGGGAAUGAAGUUCGUAUUGAGGAGUUGCAGAAGGACCUUAAUGCUAGAUUCCAAAAAGAAGCUGCAUUAGAAGCAGCUCUAUCUAUGAAAGUUGAAAUAGCUGACCUGAGAAGGACACUAGAUGAAAUAAAACACCAAAAACAAGAUUUGGAAUAUGAGCUUACAAACAUGCAGAUGUUGGUAGCCAAGAUGAGAAAGCAUGGCAUUAAUGGUGAGGAUAAGUCAACAGUUCAUAUGGCUAAUGAUGUACAAACCAAGGUUAAAAAUGGACUUCCAACAACUAAUGGCUACUCUCGUAGAAAACAAUGCAAAGAGGAUGAAAUUUUAGGAAGCAUGGAAGAUAUGAUUGCAUUAGAAGAACUGAGGGCUAAUUAUCAAAGAGAAAGAAGAAGAUGCAAAGAACUUGAAAGUCAUAUUUCUAUAUUGAAGGGUGAAGAUAUCGCUGGUCUGGAUGUCAUGGCUCUUGAAGAACUUCAAAACCUUCAUAUUGAGGCAAUAACAAAGAUUUGCCAUGCAAAGUAUGCAAAUCAAAACUUGUAACAUCAUGCUGUUGGCUGCUGUGAGUGUUGUACUCGGGAUUUUUGAAGUUGGUACAGUAUAUUUUGUAAACAUAACAAAACACUGACAAUCAUUCUCAAUCAUCCUUGUAAUGGUGUAUGGAAGCAUUGAAGGCCUAUCCGCUUGUUUAGUGAAUAGCUACUUGCUACUGACGGGAAUUGAGG